GAUACGCGAUUCGCGUUUAAAAGCGUGCCCGUGACCUUAUCGUAAACCAGGCCUUGGGUGGUCGGCAUGCGUGACGUAUAGAGACUCGGUCUCUUGGCGGCGCCUCCGAGUUCGCGAACUCGCGAUCGUUCGUUCGGACGAAUCGAUCGAGGCCACCAGGAUUCUCGUGCCGGCCGUUUACCUCGGCGGAAGAACGCUUUUUGCGCGGCGGAAAUUUUGCGCCGAUCGACCAGAGUCGUCGUGAAGAGAACCCAUCGGAAAAGUCCUGAAAGUCGGCAAUUAAGUGCCUCAUUGUUUUCCGAGGCUGAACGAACGAUAGCAUCCCUCUUCCACAGAAAUUCAUGAUUUUUAAGGCAGGGAGGACAAAUUAUUUUGUCGAGGUUUCACCAAAUCGGGACCGUUUAAUUUCGGAAUUUUCGGUAAUGGCGCCACGAAGAGAGUCCACGUGUCCGUGCAAAGAGGCCUCGAAGCGACAGAGAGCCUCGAAAAGGUCGACCAUCGGCGUCGCUUUUGAUAAACAUCCAACUAGUGCGCAACUUCCAAUUUGGUGUCGUCAUUAGUGCGUACGUCGACGGGAAAUGGUGCCGCAGCUGCGAGAGGCGACCUUACGAGUCGCCUCCGAAGCCGGGUGGAAAGGUCCACGAAAGUCGGGUAAAACGACAAUCUGGCAAAGACCCGAGACGUUUCCUUCGCCAAUUGGCACCGAGUCCCCUCGCAUUAGCAGAGCAACGAUCGAAGAGGAGGACCUCGGAGAGGAUUCUUCCUCUCGAGUCGUGGACGUCGAACCUCAACGAGCUCCCUCGAUUGGGAGCUCGAAAAGGCCAAAGCGCAAAUGCACGUCGCUCGAUGAGUGGAAAAUCUUUGAGUGAUUCACCCUCGAGGACCCACGGUGCCGAAUUAAUGGAUCCGCGCGAUUCGCGUCAUUGGAAACGACCAACGACGCUCUCGAUCGACGUUGGGAUAGGUCGAAACCGAGACGACGCUAAACGGCCGCUCGAAAACCCUCGAGCCCUUGAAGAAAUAUCGACCCCGAGGGUUCCAGGUAGAAUUGCAUGGUAUUUUCCAUGUUGUCGUCCCCACGUGUCCGAUAUUCGUUACCCGGAAUUUUGGGUCGGUACCCGGUAUUGGAUAUGGGAUAUGC